UACGAAGGGGGCUAGCGUUGCUCGGAAUUACUGGGCGUAAAGGGCGCGUAGGCGGAUGUUUAAGUCAGAGGUGAAAGCCCAGGGCUCAACCUUGGAACUGCCUUUGAUACUGGACAUCUUGAGUGUGGGAGAGGUGAGUGGAACUCCGAGUGUAGAGGUGAAAUUCGUAGAUAUUCGGAAGAACACCAGUGGCGAAGGCGGCUCACUGGUCCGGUACUGACGCUGAGGUGCGAAAGCGUGGGGAGCAAACAGG
rnacentral:rRNA from 1 species